rnacentral:rRNA from 1 species
GCCUGUUUAUCAAAAACAUGGCUUUUUGUUAAUAAUUUAAAGUCUGGCCUGCCCAAUGAUUUGUUUAAAUGGCCGCGGUACUUUGACCGUGCAAAGGUAGCAUAAUCAUUAGUUUUUUAAUUGAAAGCUGGAAUGAACGGUCGGACAAGAAAAUUACUGUCUCAAUUAAAUAGUUUUAGAAUUUUAUUUUUUAGUAAGAAAGCUAAAAUAGAUUUAAGGGACGAGAAGACCCUAUAGAAUUUUAUAAAUUUUGAAGGGUUGAAUUUUUAGUUUAGUUAUUUUGGUUCUGUAAAAUUUAUUUUGUUGGGGUGAUGGAAAAAUUUGAUAAACUUUUUUUUUAUUAAUUCACUUAUUUGUGUUUAGAUGAUCCAUUUAUAGUGAUUAUAAGAUUAAAUUACCUUAGGGAUAACAGCGUAAUUGGUUUGGAGAGUUCAAAUCGAUAAACUAGUUUGCGACCUCGAUGUUGGAUUAAAAUAAACUUUUGGUGUAGGGGCUAAAAAGUUAAGUCUGUUCGACUUUUAAAAUUUUACAUGAUCUGAGUUCAGACCGG